rnacentral:rRNA from 1 species
GACGAACGCUGGCGGCGUGCCUAAUACAUGCCAGUAGAACGCUGAAGGAGGAGCUUGCUUCUCUGGAUGAGUUGCGAACGGGUGAGUAACGCGUAGGUAACCUGCCUGGUAGCGGGGGAUAACUAUUGGAAACGAUAGCUAAUACCGCAUAAGAGUAGAUGUUGCAUGACAUUUGCUUAAAAGGUGCAAUUGCAUCACUACCAGAUAGACCUGCGUUGUAUUAGCUAGUUGGUGGGGUAACGGCUCACCAAGGCGACGAUACAUAGCCGACCUGAGAGGGGGAUCGGCCACACUGGGACUGGGACACGGCCCAGACUCCUACGGGAGGCAGCAGUAGGGAAUCUUCGGCAAUGGACGGAAGUCUGACCGAGCAACGCCGCGUGAGUGAAGAAGGUUUUCGGAUCGUAAAGCUCUGUUGUAAGAGAAGAACGAGUGUGAGAGUGGAAAGUUCACACUGUGACGGUAUCUUACCAGAAAGGGACGGCUAACUACGUG